UUUUGAAGUCGCCUCUCUUCCAUUGUUAGAGGUAGCUCCGCGCCUCUUUUCUGUGGAUUCUGUUUUAUUUUUUCUUUUAUCUUAUCGUUUCCACAUUACUCGAAGGUUCGCAGUAUAGAGAAGCUCUGUCUAAUGCGGGAGAUCUCGGGAAUGGAACAAAGUUAAUCAUUGUUCAUGAUGCCAUUGCAAGUGAUGAUGGAAAUCUGGAGCUAGCUUUACGUUGGCCUUCUCUUCCAGCUUGGGUAUCCAGAGAUAUGUUCAGCUUUUAAAUAUGACCUGUCGUUUCGUGGACUAUCUUGUGAAGUUGGAUUUUUUGGGUCUAUUGAGCUUGACGGAAGCUUCUUUGGUUGUGGACAGGUUUUAUUAGUCAUCUCUUUCUUGCUGCGGGUCAACACCACUGAAAGAAAUGGAAGAUUCAAGAUGAUGGACGUCGAUCCUGCAUGUUUAAUAACCUGAAUACUAAGAAAGGAUGAAAACUAUUUCUAACUGGAAUGAAUUAGUGUUUGUACAUCUUACGGGAUAUGCUUUUAAAUAUAGGUAAAUGAUUUUGCAAAGUAGUAAUUUAUUGUAAUAGUUUUGGCAGUUCCUUUACUACAUUGCCAUUUUGUUUUAUGGAUAAAAAAUUAAGUUAGAUAAGGAUGGACACGUAGAUAAUGCUUAAUAUAUAUGGAAGAUCAGAAUGUUUACUUGAUUAUUCAAUACUGCUGUUAAUUGUGAAUAUAACAUUUUACUAGAAAA